GUAAAUUUUGGUAAUUGAAGGUAGUCCACGAUAAGGCAGAGAAGCACUUUUCAGGACUGAAAAUCCUUGUGUCGCUGGUUCGAUUCCAGUUCUGGCCA
rnacentral:tRNA from 1 species